UAAAAAGAAAUGAGUCUUCAUUCUUAAUGUAUUAGUGUAUAAUUCUUAUCAUGCUCUUGUGUUUAGCUCUGAGCCGCUGGAGUGAAAGAUGUACAGAUGUGAGCAUUGACACCUCUCUGAAAUCUAAAGUUUCUCUCCCGUGUCACUUUAAUACGAGCUUGGACAGUGACACAGUGACAUGGAGACACCUAAACAAUGGAGACACUCUUGUAAAGAUCAUAGCUGAUGGCAGAAUCUACUUUGAUAAUCCUAGAGAAGGACGAGUGACUGCUUUUCCGCUUUUAGUUGAGGAAGGAAACUUCUCCAUCCUCAUCCAUGAUCUGGAGUCUUCAGACGUCGGCGUGUACUUUUGUGAGCUGAACAGUGAAUGCUGGAGAGUGAAGAUCACAGAAUCAGCUAAAUCGAUCCCUGCACAGGAAAGUUGGUGUUUAAUUUAAUUUUAAUGCCUAAUAGCAAAUUACUUAGUAAGCAAAAUAAAUCAUUUAGCAUUUAUUUCACAUGUCAUUUUUAUUUCUGGCACAGACACAGUAACGUUGAGCUCUGAUCUGAACUCCUGGUUGUUCUUUUUGGCUGGAGCUUGUCUUUUUGCAGUGGUUUUUAUUGUGUUUUAUCACAUUGGUGAGCACGACUGUUCAUUUAUUAUAAGGAAAAUACUAUGAACCACUAUAUUAACCAGGAUUCUAUUUUGUUUGUUUGUCAAAUCAUACUCAGGCUUGCAUAACCGUUUGCGAUCCUGGACAGGCUUUGCAUUCAGAAAUCAAGAUUCAACUGAGCCUACCAUAACUACAGUGUAUGAUGGCAUCCAGGCAAAGGGGAGAAGCUGACAACAUUGGGAUACAAACACAUUUUGUCUUAAAAUGAAGACGAUUCAAAAGGUUCUACACAUAUUAUUUCUGUAAACUUGUGUAAAUUAAUAUUCUAUUGUAUGUUGAUUGUUUUCCUUUAAAGUUUUUUUUUUUUAAUUAUUUUUUUUUUAACUGUUUUAAAUGAAUGUCAUCUACACUCAACGGCCACUUUAUUAUGUACAACUUACUAGUUCCCGGUUGGACUUUCUUUUGUCUUCAGAACUGACUUAAUCCUUUGUGGCAUAGAUUC